UCUGGCAGCCAUAUCACCCUGCAGCUCACAGCUGGAAGCCCACUGAAGCUCAGCAGGUGUGAGCCUGGUCAGUACCUGGAUGGGAGACCUCCUGGGUAAAACUAAGGUUGCUGCUGGAA
rnacentral:rRNA from 1 species